AAAUUGAAGAGUUUGAUCAUGGCUCAGAUUGAACGCUGGCGGCAGGCCUAACACAUGCAAGUCGAACGGUAACAGAAAGCAGCUUGCUGCUUUGCUGACGAGUGGCGGACGGGUGAGUAAUGUCUGGGAAACUGCCUGAUGGAGGGGGAUAACUACUGGAAACGGUAGCUAAUACCGCAUAACGUCGCAAGACCAAAGAGGGGGACCUUAGGGCCUCUUGCCAUCGGAUGUGCCCAGAUGGGAUUAGCUAGUAGGUGGGGUAACGGCUCACCUAGGCGACGAUCCCUAGCUGGUCUGAGAGGAUGACCAGCCACACUGGAACUGAGACACGGUCCAGACUCCUACGGGAGGCAGCAGUGGGGAAUAUUGCACAAUGGGCGCAAGCCUGAUGCAGCCAUGCCGCGUGUAUGAAGAAGGCCUUCGGGUUGUAAAGUACUUUCAGCGGGGAGGAAGGGAGUAAAGUUAAUACCUUUGCUCAUUGACGUUACCCGCAGAAGAAGCACCGGCUAACUCCGUGCCAGCAGCCGCGGUAAUACGGAGGGUGCAAGCGUUAAUCGGAAUUACUGGGCGUAAAGCGCACGCAGGCGGUUUGUUAAGUCAGAUGUGAAAUCCCCGGGCUCAACCUGGGAACUGCAUCUGAUACUGGCAAGCUUGAGUCUCGUAGAGGGGGGUAGAAUUCCAGGUGUAGCGGUGAAAUGCGUAGAGAUCUGGAGGAAUACCGGUGGCGAAGGCGGCCCCCUGGACGAAGACUGACGCUCAGGUGCGAAAGCGUGGGGAGCAAACAGGAUUAGAUAUCCUGGUAGUCCACGCCGUAAACGAUGUCGACUUGGAGGUUGUGCCCUUGAGGCGUGGCUUCCGGAGCUAACGCGUUAAGUCGACCGCCUGGGGAGUACGGCCGCAAGGUUAAAACUCAAAUGAAUUGACGGGGGCCCGCACAAGCGGUGGAGCAUGUGGUUUAAUUCGAUGCAACGCGAAGAACCUUACCUGGUCUUGACAUCCACGGAAGUUUUCAGAGAUGAGAAUGUGCCUUCGGGAACCGUGAGACAGGUGCUGCAUGGCUGUCGUCAGCUCGUGUUGUGAAAUGUUGGGUUAAGUCCCGCAACGAGCGCAACCCUUAUCCUUUGUUGCCAGCGGUCCGGCCGGGAACUCAAAGGAGACUGCCAGUGAUAAACUGGAGGAAGGUGGGGAUGACGUCAAGUCAUCAUGGCCCUUACGACCAGGGCUACACACGUGCUACAAUGGCGCAUACAAAGAGAAGCGACCUCGCGAGAGCAAGCGGACCUCAUAAAGUGCGUCGUAGUCCGGAUUGGAGUCUGCAACUCGACUCCAUGAAGUCGGAAUCGCUAGUAAUCGUGGAUCAGAAUGCCACGGUGAAUACGUUCCCGGGCCUUGUACACACCGCCCGUCACACCAUGGGAGUGGGUUGCAAAAGAAGUAGGUAGCUUAACCUUCGGGAGGGCGCUUACCACUUUGUGAUUCAUGACUGGGGUGAAGUCGUAACAAGGUAACCGUAGGGGAACCUGCGGUUGGAUCACCUCCUUA
rnacentral:rRNA from 1 species